AUCGCGGCUUGUAAUCAGGAAAGUCCGAAGCAGAGCGAUUUUUUUUUGUUACCCUUGUUGCCUUACAAGUGGGCUUUAGAACAUGAAAAAUCGGCUUUACUUCAUCCUGAACAAAGCAAGUAAACUGGUGUUUGCAAGACUUCAUGCAAGUUAAUCAAAAAGUGGAGUGCUAAGCAAAUGGACAAUGUGAAUAAGGGAAAUGCCUAGCCUUCUUUCAUGAAUGGAACCUAUGGCCAAGAGAGAAUAAGGAGUGUGGUUAUACCUUCUGUCCAUCCCUUUACUUCCAGCAGCCAGUGGAGGUCGGAAGAUAAGAUGAGGAUGCUAAAUUUUCAGAUACUGACAUUGCAUCUAUACUUGAUGAUAAAUUGCAAUAAAAUUAUACUAUACACUGUUGCAACAUUGUGAUGCAUGACAGUUAUUUGCAGCUCUCUGUUUAGAUGCCAUAUUAGAUCUAUCUCUGUUCACUCUCUGCAUUUGCCACCUGCAACCUCUCUGUUCUUGAGUUUCAGAGGGUUCACUUCCCGUGUUUCAAUACUAUAUUGUACAUAGUAACCUGUAGAAGUAAUAGAGUAAUUCUGAGCUUCCCCUAAUUUCAGCCUUCACUUUCAUCUGUCAUUUAAGAACACUUUGGUUUUCCCAGAAGGAUGCAAUCUGCCAUGAGGUGUGCAUGUUUUUGCAUAUACAAUCCUUCUUAUUUGCAUGUUUUCAUCCUGCGCCCCGACCCAAAAACCUCUCCUUCAAAUUUUUUUCAGGGUCAGACUCUAUGCUUUCAGCUGCUCCCUCUGGCUGUUUGCGUUUCUGUCUGGUCCUCUGUGUUCUGCCUUCUCUCUCACACACACACACAAACAAUACUCAGCCAAGGCAGAUUCACAUACUCCUUUUGUUUCUAGAUGGGCAAUUAUCCUUACAGUUAUGUUAAUUGAAGGGCGUGUUUAUGCAUCAGUGUUAACUCUACCCAUAACAAGGUUUCACCUGGCUCAUAAUAUGUAAAAGAUUAAUAUUUUAAUAAUGAAAAUAUACAGUGGGAACUAUUAAAAAUGUGCCUUUACUACACUGCAGUAUUUACUGUUAUGCUGGUAUUUGUUAUACUUGUUAUACUUAGAAUGGGAACUAUUUCAAAUACUGUGAUAAAUUUAACCACGCUAAGUGGUAAAUGUACAGUUUUAAUGGCACCCAU